GCAGCCCCUAAAUAUUCCCUGGGUGCCCAGGGGGCGGAAACGGACUUUGCAGCGCGCCGUCAGGCCCUGGCCCACCUUCCCGCGCAAAUCGUGCGAGGAGAUGCCUGGACCCGGGUCAGCGCCUCUCGGUCCCGCCGGCCCCGCGCAGCCUAAGGAGCGCAUGCGCGCUCGGGGACUCUGCCCUUGCGCGGGGUGCCUGGGCUGCGGGAGGCAAACGCAGCGGGAAAUCUGCGGAGGACACUGCCCUCGACCCAAGGGUCAGGGAAGGCUUCCUAGGGAUAUUUAAGCAGCGUUCUGGGAGAGGAAGCACAUGUGGACAGAUGGAACCGACGAUGCAAAGGCCAAGAGGGCGACCAUUGGGGGAAAUUGCCAGCAUGAUGUGCCACUCAAGUAUGAGUUCAAGAUGAAAAUUCAGCGAGCCACCCAUGGUCAUGCAGCAGGCUAUUGGCAGGGCGUUUGGGCUGCCAGGAGGGCAGGAACACAGUGCUUCUGUGGUCACCAUAGGUGACCUGAGUCAUUGCGUCAGCUCCAGAGACACAAGCCUGACUGCUCAGAGCACCACGAGUUCCCAACCACGAGAGCUUGUUCAGGGAUGGACAUGCGACAUCAGAACCAAUAAGGUGAAAUAUUGGAAUACUUGCUGGGACUGCUGAGAAGGGUCUACUCUCUCUGUCUCUUUUUCUUCUAGCUGGAUCUGAACUUGAAAGAUAACCUAAGAAUGAAGCCAUUAUGGAAACCAGGAGAAUCUAGAGACAGGGCCAACAGGUCCUGGGGACAGAAUCGGAGCCCUUGAAUAAACCAUGCUUGAAAUUCUCAUCCUUUGGAUUUUUUUAGUUACAUGAGU